rnacentral:piRNA from 1 species
UAGUUCCUGGCAUGUAAAAGGGAUUU